ACCCGAAUAUGGAUAGAUGUCAACAUUAGCACACAGUCUGUCUCACGCACAUUAUUGAGCGAACUUGACAUGGUGUCAGAAGUGCUGUGUAGCUAAAGCAGGACAUAUAAAGGUCUACUACCGUAGCGACGUAGGUAAAAGUUCGGAAGAAGUGUUCGGUGAAGUUAGAUGAGUGAUAACCCGCAGGACCUGAAAGCAGCUAACCUUAGCAUGGCGGCUAACACUCCCAGCGCUACGUUUAACAUCCAGCCGCCGGAGCCCUUCGACUUUUCCAAGCCGAACGACUGGACCAAAUGGAUUCGGAGAAUUGAGAGAUUCCGUCAGGCAAGCAAUCUGUCUGCAAGCUCCGAAGACAACCAGAGAAAGCAUGCAAAUCAUAAAACAAAAUACGAGGAGCUGACGUCACUGAAAAGAAAACGGACUUUGGAAAAUGGGACUUCCAUCCUCAAACAGACCACAUUGGUGAAUGCCAGAUCCAUCUCUCAAAGCUCAAUAGACAAAGCUGAGAUUCAAUCCAGUUGAACUCACGUUCCUAACUGAGUAUGUCACCACCAUGAGCCCAGUCGCCCAGGCCUUCAACAUUCUUCAGGCCGAAACGAAAGUCCAGAUGGGAUGGCUGCUUCCGACUAUUAUCCUGUUGAGUACAAAACUAGAGAAAGCCACGUUCCAUGUAAAGCACUGCAAGCCGUUGGUUAAAGACUUGCAAGUGGGAAUAAACAACCGCUUUUGGCCACAUGUCAACAGACCCUGAAUUGGUUGCCGCUGCUAUUCUCCUCCCUAAAUUUAGAACUGCAUGGACAAAAGAUGAUGCUACAAUCAGAAUGGGAAUGGAUUACGUCAAGGAGCAGAUGACAGAUCCUUCCUUGUCAGGAGAAGCCGACAGAUCCAGCUCAUCUGAUGAGGGAGACUUCUUCUCUUCCCUGAAGAGCUCUCACGUUACUCGAGACAGCUCCAAGCAACUAGAUGGAUACCUGGCCCUUACAGCAGAUCAGAUGGAUGUACUGAAGACGUUCCCUUCUGUCUGCAAGUUGUCUGUUAAGCUGAACACACCUCUGCCUGCCUCUGCAGCCUGUAAACAACUGUUUAGCUUUGCAGGACUCGUCUUCAGCCCUCGAAGAGCUCAGCUGGAUUCGUGCAAUUUUGAGAAUCAACUUCUGCUUAAGAUGAACCACAAGUUUGUUGACUUUUAAUAAAGCACUAUGACAAAUUAAA